CACGUAGGCGGCCUGGUAAGGCAGAUGUGAAAGCCCGGGGCUUAACCCCGGAAGUGCAUUUGAUACUGUCAGGCUUGAGUAUGGGAGAGGGAAGUGGAAUUCCUGGUGUAGAGGUGAAAUUCGUAGAUAUCAGGAGGAACACCGGUGGCGAAGGCGACUUCCUGGACCAAUACUGACGCUGAGGUGCGAAGGCGUGGGUAGCAAACAGGAUUAGAUACCCUGGUAGUCC
rnacentral:rRNA from 1 species